AGAUUCUUCCGUUGGUCAGGCUAACAAGUCUGUACUAGCGUGUAGAAUCUCUACCUUCUGGGGAACCAUCAUGUUAUUAAUUUAGCGUGGUGGGAAACCAGGACCUUUACCUUGAAGAAAUUAGAGUGUUCAAAGCAGGCUUACGUCUGAAUGCAUUAGCAUGGAAUAAUAAAAUAGGACGGUGGUCCUGUUUUGUUGGUUUCUGAAUCACCGUAAUGAUUAAUAGGGAUAGUUGGGC
rnacentral:rRNA from 1 species